AGAAUUUAAGUUAACCUCUGUAGUGACCAUGUGGAAAUCCUGACCUUGCUUGCAGACUUGACCUCUGGAUAUGACAAGGUAGCUUCAAUACAGAUUUACCAUUUAAUCCUGGAAACUAAAAACCAAAAAAAAAAUCUCACAGCAAGAAAGAUGCAGAAUUAUUUCCUAAGAAGUAGAAGAACCUAGUGUAUUCUGGUGGGCAAAGGAAAACAGUGUGAGAUUCUGUGUUCACUAAUAUACUUCAUCGGCUCAUGAAGAAAAGAAAUGCUGAAUCAGCAGGUAGAGUGAAGGAACAAUCAAGAUGAGAUGGCUGCUGCUGAUGUGACUCUCUAGGUCAUUAUUUCUCUUCCUGCUACAAAUGCUGCAAGACACUAAGCUUAAAGGAUCUAGAAGCAAACUACAAAAUCAAAAGAAAUUCACUCCGAAGACUCUGAAGAAAUAACAGGCUGAUCUUAUCCAUUUCUGAAAUACACUCUGUAAAACUCCACUGAUUCUAUAAAUCUAUUGCAAAAAGGACCAAACCAGGACAAAGUUCAGCAGAUAACUGGUUAAUGUUUAGAAGUGUAUGUCCACCAACAAGGAACCAUAAAUGGCACUAAUGCAAUGCUUCAGGUAAAUUUUAGUCUUUGAUAGUCUCGGCAAAUGAUCUACCAUUGCUCUACAUCAGUAAAUUGAAUGUUUUACUAACAAAUGGGAAAAUAAAACAUUUCAUGUUUUUACAGCUAACAACUUAGUAAUACCUACUCAGAGUACAUACUUCUUUAUGUACCCAUAUGAACAUACAAUGCUAUGGAAUGUAAAGAAGUAUGUAUUUUUGGUAGGCAAUAAAUCACCAAGAGGGAAAUAAACUGCAGCUAAAAGAAGCCCUUGCUUCUUUCUAUGUGAAUGACCUUCAUAUAGUAUAUUAACUUAGAAUCAAAGAGAUGACCUUUAGAAAUAAUAUCAUAAAAUGUACCUACUACUUAUAGAUGAAAACUAAAUGUCACUAAAAUUUUUAUUUUGUGAAGAAAAGCUUUACUGAAGUAGAUUUAAAAUUAUCAUGAAACUUCUUUUAAAUCUUUUACAUUUAAAAUACAAUAUAUUUUUAAAUCGAGUACUGACAUGAUUAAAAUUUGAAUACCAAAAAACCCAGUAUUACUAGCACCAAAGAAUGAGAGCUUUUUCCACAAUUUCAUCUUAAUUUAAGUAUAUCACAUUAGUAGGGUUAACUGAUUUGUUAAGAAAUACAAGAAACAACAAAAGCUGAUUUCAUUUACAUUUUU